rnacentral:rRNA from 1 species
GACAGAGGGUGCAAACGUUGCUCGGAAUCACUGGGCGUAAAGGGCGUGUAGGCGGGUAGGAAAGUCAGAUGUGAAAGCCCUGGGCUCAACCCAGGAACUGCAUUUGAAACUCCCUUUCUUGAGUGUCGGAGAGGAAAGCGGAAUUCCUGGUGUAGAGGUGAAAUUCGUAGAUAUCAGGAGGAACACCGGUGGCGAAGGCGGCUUUCUGGACGACAACUGACGCUGAGACGCGAAAGCGUGGGGAGCAAACAGG